CCAAGGGGUGUUUUAAGGGAGUGAGCAGCAGAUGUAUGUGGAUCGCUAGGAGCUACAUGAGGGAGCUGGCUGGGUUUUGUGAAAUGGCUGACUGACAGAGCCAAGCCUGUUUAGUCUUUUAGGGGACUGAACACUAAAAACUGCUGAAUGUUCCAGCUCCAGUUGGAUUUAUAAAGAAUCAGAGCCAUCUUUACAGAAAUCAGGAGGAAUUAUUAUUGGUGGAUACUUUUCCAUUCAAGCUAAGCUGAUGGCUAGGGAAAGCUAAGGGAAAUUUGUAUCAGCUCUACUGGGACCAAAGUGGGACACUGGAAUAUUGCUGAUGUGAGAUGGCAUGCCUUCAUGGACAGCAUGUACCUUUAAGAGCUGAACUUCCAAUUUAAAACUUAUUUCUGUGCUUUCUCAAGCUAAAACAUUAGCUAUUCAGAUAGAUAAAACUUACUUAUAUACAUUGUAAACUAUGUACAACAGAAACCUUUGAGGGCAAUAACCCUCCUCUCUUCUCUCUUCAUAUUACCUUUCUUCCCUAUAGUUCACCACUGUUUAUUACUAGUUAGGGCCUUUCUGAGAUAAGUAUAGCAGAUACUGUACCCUAAAGUAAAAAGUAAUAUAAUUAAAUACAGUAAUUUUAGAAAUAAGAAGGAAUGAUAUAUGCUCUUUUACUGUGAAGCAUGAUUCACUAAGGCCAGUCUAUGGGUAAAAAACAAUUAAGAGACAAUGUGAUCCCUAACAGUCUCAUUUCAAUUAUAUAACUUACCGCAGGUGAGACCAGUGUACGUUGUGAUCAGGUGCAUGUAGACUUGCAUAAUUGGUAUGAGCUGGAUAUCCAAACGAAGACCAAAAUAUGUAUCCACAAUGAUGUAGAAUGACGUAGGUUGAAAAACAGUCACAUUCUCUGUUUACGGGGAAGAUAAUUAUAAAUAAGUAUACAGCAUUACAAUUGAUAACUAUUUCACAUAUAGAUAUACAGUCAUAUG